GUUUGGUUAAGUUAGAAAGGGCGCACGGUGGAUGCCUUGACACUAGGAGUCGAUGAAGGACGGGACUAACGCCGAUAUGCUUCGGGGAGCUGUAAGUAAGCUUUGAUCCGAAGAUUUCCGAAUGGGGAAACCCACCAUACGUAAUGGUAUGGUAUCCUUAUCUGAAUACAUAGGGUAAGGAAGACAGACCCAGGGAACUGAAACAUCUAAGUACCUGGAGGAAGAGAAAGCAAAUGCGAUUUCCUGAGUAGCGGCGAGCGAAACGGAACAUAGCCCAAACCAAGAGGCUUGCCUCUUGGGG
rnacentral:rRNA from 2 species